GCAUAUCAAUAAGCGGAGGAAAAGAAACCAACAGGGAUUGCCUUAGUAACGGCGAGUGAAGCGGCAAUAGCUCAAAUUUGAAAGCUGGCGUCUUCGACGUCCGCGUUGUAAUUUGUAGAGGAUGCUUCGGCGAAGACUCCUGCCUAAGUCCCCUGGAACGGGGCGUCAUAGAGGGUGAGAAUCCCGUAUGUGGCGGGCAGUCUAAGCCAUGUGAAGCUCCUUCGACGAGUCGAGUUGUUUGGGAAUGCAGCUCUAAAUGGGAGGUAAAUUUCUUCUAAAGCUAAAUAUUGGCCAGAGACCGAUAGCGCACAAGUAGAGUGAUCGAAAGAUGAAAAGCACUUUGGAAAGAGAGUUAAAAAGUACGUGAAAUUGUUGAAAGGGAAGCGCUUGCAACCAGACUCGCUCGUAGUUGCUCAGCCGGCCUCUUGGCCGGUGUACUCUUCUACGAUCGGGCCAGCAUCAGUUCGGGCGGCAGGAUAAAGGUGUCGGGAAUGUAGCACCCUUCGGGGUGUGUUAUAGCCCGGCGCGGAAUGCUGCCAGCCUGGACUGAGGAUCUCGCUUCGGCAAGGAUGCUGGCGUAAUGGUUGUAAGCGG
rnacentral:rRNA from 1 species